rnacentral:lncRNA from 1 species
CUAGAGCACUUGUUUCUUGUUUAGGUUUACCAAAAAUUCGGGUAAACAUGGUUGCCGAUUAUUAGAAGAAGAUGUUGAAACACCGAUUCGAGAAUUGUUGACCUGAUCUGAUCGGAACAGCAAAAGAAUUAAUCAAGAUCGAAGUUCUGAAAUUGAAAAAAAGAAAAAAAGAAAGGUGAAGUGAACGAAGUCUGAUUGAUAAAUUAGGGUUUUGAGAGGGAAAGAGAGAGAGAUCUGACAGACCGUAGCGAUAAAAACAAAGAGAGAAUGAAUCCGUAGGAAUGGAAGGAACGCUUGCCCUACACUUCAGAGUUCAGACCAACCAAUUCAUUAUUAUUGUGAUUUUUUUUUUCUUUGAUACGCGCAUAAAUUUACGCGGAUAAAUUUUUCAUUGCCUAAUAUAUGUUU